rnacentral:rRNA from 1 species
GUUUGCGAUCAUACCAGCACUAAUGCACCGGAUCCCAUCAGAACUCCGCAGUUAAGCGUGCUUGGGCGAGAGUAGUACUACGAUGGGUGACCCCCUGGGAAGUCCUCGUGUUGCAACCC